CAGCACAGUGGGCAGCAGCCCUGCACUGCCUGCUAAACACUGCUGUAAAUGGUACAGGUGCUCUGAGGACUGAAUUUCAUACAUUUAUGGGGCUCUAAUAACACCUCAUUAUGUUCAUAGCUGCAGUCAGCUCGGCUCCACGACGUAGGUGGAACUGUCACAACAUGUUCUGGUUGCUCCUAGUGUUCGAGCACAUCCUGAUGUAGGCCCGCUCUGAUUAGAAGCAGAUAGGUGGAGGAUUAUUCCAGAGGAUGAUCCCCAAAAUAAUGGAGAUGACGUGAAGGAGACAAUUGCCUUGCUCACUCCCUUCUCUGUUUUUACCCUACAUUCUCAUGUCCAGUCCACAAAAAAAAGAUAACACUUGUGGGUUCCUUGAUCUUGAACAAAGGCUUGAUUUCCAUAUUCACAAACAGAAAUAUUUUCAGAUUGUUGUGAAGAUUUUGGUGGGAAUUGCUGUGGUUUACCUCCAGAAGCAGAGUUUGGGUAAGGCACUGAGCUAUAUUAGUGAGAGAAGCUGAAGGGUUUGAGUUUCCUCAGCAGAGUCCAGAGGAGUUGGCAGUGAGCAGGAAGAGCUGAGAUGGUACUACUGCGUUUGGGCAGGAAACAGUGAGUUAUUCACAAGAGCAUUUGGGUGACAGCUGGUACAAAUAGAUAUAAAGGGUGUGACAGCUAAUUCACUGGGCAAAAAUGCCUGAAGAAUCAGGUGAGAAAUCCAAUGAAUCCUUUGCGUGAAGGAGUAGCAUGAAGCAGAGAGGCCUUGAAGGAAGAGCAGUAUGUGGAGAAGCAAAAAGCUGAGGAAAAUCUUCAUUGAAAAGUUGAAAAAAGAUGAAGCACAAGAACAAAUAUGGGACUGAGACUGAGAGAAAAUGUUCACGAGAACACAGCAAAAAAGUAGAAAGGAGGUCGAUACUCAGGACCUGAGGAGCCCUUUGAAGGACAGAGCUGUGUAGAGAGCUUUGUU